rnacentral:lncRNA from 1 species
ACCUACGCCGUCAUUGCACCCAAUAUGGGCAAGCAGAUCGUGGCAUUCCAGGCCAUGAUGGACAUGAUGGCUAAAAACUUUCCUGGCGCGUUCUCGGGCUACAGGCUCCGAGUGGUCGAGUCCCACCAGUCGACGAAGAAGGACACGUCGGGGACGGCGAAGGCCGUUGUGCAGUCGUUUGUGGAGAUGGGCAUCAAAUUUGACGUGUCAGAAAUCGAGCUGGUGCGGGAGCCAAAGGAACAGAUGGAGGUUAUGAAGGUGCCCGAGUCGGCACUCAAUGGACAUGCGUACCACACGUACCAGCUGGUUUCUGGCGACGGGACGGUGAUGUUUGAGUUCCAACACAAUGUCAUCGGUCGCACGACGUAUGCGGAAGGCACCGUGGACGCUACCCUCUU